rnacentral:rRNA from 1 species
AACCUCCGCUUGGUGAACAGCGGAGGGACAUUACCGAGUUUACAACUCCCAAACCCCUGUGAACAUACCACUUGUUGCCUCGGCGGAUCAGCCCGCUCCCGGUAAAACGGGACGGCCCGCCAGAGGACCCCUAAACUCUGUUUCUAUAUGUAACUUCUGAGUAAAACCAUAAAUAAAUCAAAACUUUCAACAACGGAUCUCUUGGUUCUGGCAUCGAUGAAGAACGCAGCAAAAUGCGAUAAGUAAUGUGAAUUGCAGAAUUCAGUGAAUCAUCGAAUCUUUGAACGCACAUUGCGCCCGCCAGUAUUCUGGCGGGCAUGCCUGUUCGAGCGUCAUUUCAACCCUCAAGCACAGCUUGGUGUUGGGACUCGCGUUAAUUCGCGUUCCUCAAAUUGAUUGGCGGUCACGUCGAGCUUCCAUAGCGUAGUAGUAAAACCCUCGUUACUGGUAAUCGUCGCGGCCACGCCGUUAAACCCCCAACUUCUGAAUGUUGACCUCGGAUCAGGUAGGAAUACCCGCUGAACUUAAGCAUAUCAAAAGGGGGGAGGAGAAAA